ensembl:lncRNA
GAGCAGCCCAUGGUGGAGGGCAAACUGAAAGGAAAAAAAACAGACCUGUAAUAUCUGACCAGACUGGAGGGAAACAGGGAUCUUACGAGAGCCAGUUACUCAGAGACGGAGUGGCAGAGUAAAUAAAGACAUUCUGGAAUUCAGUCAAGUGAGGGCGUGUGAGCAGAGCUUACUAUUUAGCUUUACUCUGGAACAGAGAACAAAAUAUCUCUCCAUGCAGGACAGUGCUUCAUGCCACACAGCCAGGUCAAUCAAGGUGUGGAUGGAGGAGCACCAGAUCAAGACCCUGUUAUGGCCAGCUCAAUCUCCAGACCUAAAGCCCACUGAAAAUCUCUGGAAUGUGAUCAAGAGGUAGAUGGAUGGUCACAAGCCAUCAAACAAAGCCGAGCUGCUUAAUUUUUUUUGCGCCAUUUAAAGCUGUGAUUGAAAAUGAAUUGAAAUAUAUGAUUGAAUUCUGCACCAACAGCCUUGUGCUGGUCCAGGCUGCUGGAGGUGGUGUAAUGAUGUGGGGAAUGGUUUAUUGGCACACGUUUGGCACGUUAAUACCAAUCAACCUUUGCAUGAAUGCCACUAUUUGAGUAUUGUUGGUGACCAUGUGCAUUCCUUCAAGGCCACAAUUUACCAUCUUCUAAUGGCUACUUCCAGCAUGAUAAUGCACCAUGUCACAAAGCAAACGUCGUCUCAAACUGGUUUCAUGGACAUGACAAUGAGUUCAGUGUUCUUCAGUGGUCUUCCCCAUCACUGGAACUGAAUCCAAUAGAACACCUUGUUCACACAUGGAAGUGCACUGAAAAAACAGAAAUUGCUAGAUGCAACCAUGUCAACAUCCAGAAUCUCAAAGGAAUGUUUCCAACAUCUUGUGGAAUCCAUGCCACAAUGAAUUGAGGCUGUUCUGAGAGCAACGGGAGGUCCUACCCAGCUGUAUAUGUUCCUAAUAAAUUGUUCAGUGAGUGUAUAUAUGUAUAGCAUAUAUUAUAUGUAUCAAUUGUGUGCAUUAAAAUGCUGCUAUAUAACAUGCUUUGGAUGCACUCUUCCAUAAACCAACUUUUAUACUGUUAGACCAACAUAAACAACAAUUAUUUUAUAUCCAUAACAGUUCACACAAGCCAAUUCCUUUGAAAGCCUAUAGUUUGUUCAGUUUAAUUUUAUGUUUUACAUUUUAAGGUGUUAUAGUGCUUAAACAGUAUCUUUAAUAGAGAGCUUGAGGGAUUGCAGAGCAGUAUAGUCCUGUAAUUUGCACCUUAUUUUGCGAGCAAAGAAAGUGUGCAUGUCUCAGUGCUUGCAGAAUUGAAGUGCUCUCACAUGCAACAGUUUCUCUUUUCCCUAUUUCACUGCUCCAUGCUUGUGAAAAUCUUUGUAUAAGCACAAUUUAUGCACCUUGCUCUUAUUUUUAAUGACCUCUCUCACUGAUAUUUCUCUGUGGUUCAACUCGGUCACCCUCAUACUCUCUAUUUAAGAUUCUGUUUAAAUGGUACAAGAUGAUUUAUCAGGUUACUUGUAAUGCAGGAAGAUGGUAUCGUUCCUUCUCUUGAUAUUUUAGCUGAAAACAGUUUGCAGUCUGCUUUGGGUUGAUCAAUAAUAAGCAUACACUAUGUUUACAUCACAUAAUAUCGUGUGGUAUAGAAUGUUGGUAUUGGAGCAUUUUUAGGCGUACAAGUAAAUGUUAUCGGACUGUUACCAAAUGCCAGUAUUGAUAUCAAUUCAUCCUUAAGUAUUGCUUAUAACAAUGUAUGAUAUGAUCUCAAUAAAAUCUAGUCUGAAUUCUACAGACUGAGCGAUAACAUGCUUUCCUUACCAACCAGCAGAAUCCAGGCUUGCAUUAAAUGGGGUCACAUAAAUGGAAACGUUCUUUAAAGGGAGCUUGAAAUAAUAUUUGCACAUGAAAUGUGAGUUUUG